UACGUAGGUGGCGAGCGUUGUCCGGAAUUACUGGGUGUAAAGCGCGCGUAGGCGGUAGGCCAAGUCUGCUGUGAAAUCGCCCGGCUCAACUGGGCGCGGUCGGUGGAAACUGGUCAACUGGAGGACGGUAGAGGCGAGUGGAAUUCCCGGUGUAGUGGUGAAAUGCGUAGAGAUCGGGAGGAACACCAGUGGCGAAGGCGGCUCGCUGGGCCGGACCUGACGCUGAGACGCGAAAGCGUGGGGAGCAAACAGG
rnacentral:rRNA from 1 species